GAGUUUGAUCAUGGCUCAGAUUGAACGCUGGCGGCAUGCCUUACACAUGCAAGUCGAACGGCAGCACGGGAGCUUGCUCCUGGUGGCGAGUGGCGAACGGGUGAGUAAUGCAUCGGAACGUAUCCUGGAGUGGGGGAUAACGUAGCGAAAGUUACGCUAAUACCGCAUAUUCUGUGAGCAGGAAAGCGGGGGACCUUCGGGCCUCGCGCUCUUGGAGCGGCCGAUGUCGGAUUAGCUAGUUGGUGAGGUAAAGGCUCACCAAGGCGACGAUCCGUAGCAGGUCUGAGAGGAUGAUCUGCCACACUGGAACUGAGACACGGUCCAGACUCCUACGGGAGGCAGCAGUGGGGAAUUUUGAACAAUGGGGGCAACCCUGAUCCAGCCAUGCCGCGUGAGUGAAGAAGGCCU
rnacentral:rRNA from 1 species